AUUGAACGCUGGCGGCAGGCCUAACACAUGCAAGUCGAGCGAGCGGCGGACGGGUGAGUAAUGUCUGGGCAACUGCCUGAUGGAGGGGGAUAACGAGGGGAAACGGUAGCUAAUACCGCAUACCAUCAGAUGUGCCGAGAUGGGAUUAGCUAGUAGGUGGGGUAAUGGCUCACCUAGGCGAAGCUCCCUAGCUGGUCUGAGAGGAUGACCAGCCACACUGGAACUGAGACACGGUCCAGACUCCUACGGGAGGCAGCAGUGGGGAAUAUUGCACAAUGGGCGCAAGCCUGAUGCAGCCAUGCCGCGUGUGUGAAGAAGGCCUUCGGGUUGUAAAGCACUUUCAGCGAGGAGGCGUUACUCGCAGAAGAAGCACCGGCUAACUCCGUGCCAGCAGCCGCGGUAAUUC
rnacentral:rRNA from 1 species